rnacentral:lncRNA from 1 species
AGCAUGAAGAGAGAGGGAAAAUGGUGAGUCAUUCCAUUUGGGUGAACUGCGAUGAAGCCCUUUCCUAGAGUUUCCUUGGGACAGAAAAAGUAAGGUUUCUUUUUUGAAGUAGACACUCAAAGCAGGAAGCACCCGCUAUGUAGAUAUUCGGCUCCACUUUUGAAAGCGAAAGGUUAUACCCAAGUAAAUGUUCCAGGAAUGAACUAUCCUUAAAAUCACCUGCUUACCUCUCAGAAUAUGUUAAAGAGCUAUUAGAUGACCAGAAUGACCUGAAAUAUCUUGAAAAGAGUUAUCA